UACUGAGGGUGCGAACGUUGUUCGGAAUUACUGGGCGUAAAGCGCGUGUAGGCGGCAGCGCGUGUCGGGCGUGAAAUCCCACGGCUCAACCGUGGAAGUGCACUCGAAACUGCGCAGCUAGAGUCCUGGAGAGGAAGGUGGAAUGCUUGGUGUAGAGGUGAAAUUCGUAGAUAUCAAGCGGAACACCGGUGGCGAAGGCGACCUUCUGGACAGUGACUGACGCUGAGACGCGAAAGCGUGGGGAGCAAAC
rnacentral:rRNA from 1 species